AAUUAUGUACAUGGAAAUUAUAUAGACAUUGUUAUAUGAAAUAACUUUUUGCAUGACAGAAGACAUGAUUUGAAACCAAAAAACAAAGCCAGACCAAAUAUCACAAAGUGUCUGAAACAGUAUGCUAACAGCCCCACAAAUCUAUUGCCCUGCACAGAGGUGAUGGCAGUACACAUAAUUCCCUUCACUUUAUGAAUAUAACAACUCUGUAGAGGACUCAUUUUACAUCAAAAGAAAGAAAGAAGGGUUUAUUCUAAAGCAUGUGAAAAUGUGGAUGAUUGUGCUAAUUGGUUAAUAGGCUGUCAAUUGAAGGGUCAGAAGUUCUAAUCCUCUCACCAGCAUAAUUUUUAUAUACAGAAUAAAAGCUGAAUACUGUUAUAGCCAAAAAAAUUACCUUUUAAACUGGCUUUGAAAAGCAUUAAUAUAGACAGUAAAAAAAAUAUGUUGAAACUGUAAGGAAUGUGAAAACUGAAUUAUAUUGGGUAUAUAUACUCAGUAAUUUGGGUCAAACUAAACACUUCUACAGAAUGAUUAAUUUAAGUCAGGCUGCUGAAAUGCAAUUUCCUUUUCAUUUAUUUAUUUUUGUCCUUGUAUUUCUUUUUAUUAAUUUUUCUUUGUUUUUUUUUUGUUUUGUUUUUACCCUCUCAUAAAUCUAAGAUAUUGUAUGACUACUUAGGGGGGAUUAAAAAUAACACAUUCAAUGCUUCACCUGAAAAACAUAAAUGUUUGAUUAAAAUAAAAAUGGAAAAUAUGCUCCCCAUAGCUGAUAGUAGUGGUAAACUGAUAUUCAAUGAUUAAUGGUUAGCUAGAAAGAUAUUUUGAAUAAUAAAAAAAAUAAAUAAAUAAAUGCUCUUCUAUAUUUCUUCUUUCAGGGAAAUAGAUUAACAAAACUUCAGAAAAUAAUGACAAACAUGACCUUUGAGUCUCCACAGCUGUUUUAAUUGUCCUAAUAAAAAAAAAUAUUUAGUCAACAACACUGAUCACUAAACACCAAUUAACUAUUUUUUUUUUGUUGGUUUCCAGCUUAGUACAGUUGAGAGAAAGAGAAAGAGGAGGAGACAGAUGUGAGUAGUAAGAGGGAGGUGUAAGUGGGAAAGAGACAGGGAGAGUGAAAGAGAUGACUUGCAGAAAGUAGGAGGGGGAGAAAGUAUUCCUGCAUGUAUGAGUGGCACUUAUUAAGAGCAUUCCUAUAUAAAAGCCAGGAAGUCUACAAACUGUUAACAAUAUGCUAUCAGUGUUUAGCAGCCCCUCCUUUCUCCUUGCUGGAGUUCUCUAUUUAAUUUUAGAAUUCUUAAUUUAGUGAGUGAAUCAGAAAUAUCUGACUUUAAGCCAUUUUCAUAACAUAAUAACACAAACAACAUUUUGCU